GGGGUCGUGGCCAAGCCAGGUAUGGCGACUGACUCCAGAGGCACCGCGCCCGGUGACGAGACUCCAGACUGAUAUACAGAGCGGGCGGCUGAUCACCGCCUGCCGUGACGACCCUCUGGAGGACCGAGGCGCAACCGGAGAUAUCAGUCGAUCGGGGGUUCAAAUCCCUCCGACCCCA
rnacentral:tRNA from 1 species